rnacentral:rRNA from 1 species
AUUGAACGCUGGCGGCAGGCCUAACACAUGCAAGUCGAACGGUAACAGGAAGAAGCUUGCUUCUUUGCUGACGAGUGGCGGACGGGUGAGUAAUGUCUGGGAAACUGCCUGAUGGAGGGGGAUAACUACUGGAAACGGUAGCUAAUACCGCAUAACGUCGCAAGACCAAAGAGGGGGACCUUCGGGCCUCUUGCCAUCGGAUGUGCCCAGAUGGGAUUAGCUAGUAGGUGGGGUAACGGCUCACCUAGGCGACGAUCCCUAGCUGGUCUGAGAGGAUGACCAGCCACACUGGAACUGAGACACGGUCCAGACUCCUACGGGGGGCAGCAGUGGGGAAUAUUGCACAAAGGGCGCAAGCCUGAUGCAGCCAUGCCGCGUGUACGAAGAAGGCCUUCGGGUUGUAAAGUACUUUCAGCGGGGAGGAAGGGAGUAAAGUUAAUACCUUUGCUCAUUGACGUUACCCGCAGAAGAAGCACCGGCUAACUCCGUG